AAUGAAGGCACAUUACUUAUCGCCAGGUUUUCAGAAUCAACUCUUCUCAACACUUUCUUUCCCAAGGGGAAUUAGGAAAUUCUUACAUACCACUUGUAUACUUUUGAAUCCGCACACCAGUUAAGAUACAAAUAUUGUACACUGCAUGUUUCGGUCAUGCUGAGAAAGCAAAAGAGCAAGCAGUCUAUUAGGAAAAACAGAAAUAAAUACAAGCACAAAUGGCAUCAGCGCCACCCAGAAUUACAAUCUUUAGAUGCUUCAAUAAUAAUAAAAGAAGUAACUAAGGUUUUCACCGAGAAGUGGAGGCGUCCUUCACUUAAUAGAACAUAACUUAACUGCAUCAGAAGCAUCGUGGAAAGCUUAAAAGCUUUUGAGCUGCUUGGAAAAAUUCCUCGGGUGGUUUACUUAGUUUCCCCUGUCCAUAGUGAUAACCAUCUUUUUGCAGCACACUUGCAUCUUCAUAUCAGAAAUUGUACCAAGGAAAGUUGGAAGUCAUAGGAUACCCUCUAAACGAAUAAAAGUAACUUUUUGAAGCUGCAGCGGUCAAACACCUGAAAGUCCUCUUUCGUGAUGUCCAGUAGUGCUCUUCGUCAAAAUUAAAAAGCUCAUCCCGUAUUUCCCAGAAACACUGCACAAAAAAUUGUGACGCUAUUGCAUAAGUUUAAAGGUGUCAGCGCAAUCAGCAAGAACGAAUUAUUAUGCCCAUGAAUAUGAAUCAAAUGGCUACAUCAAAGGCCAUUUACACAUAGGCAGGUACGAGUAUCUGGUGCGAGUCUAAGCGUAUUACCAUUCCAAACUUAAAUCUCAAUAUACUAGGUCAUGUGUCCAAAAUUAGGUAUGAGUACGGGAACACGUCAUCUACACUUAGAUCCAUGGGCAUAUUUCCUAACGGCUUUAAGACAAUUGGUGAGAUAACAAACUGCCUAGCAGCUAGCAGACACUUAGAUCCAUGUUCAAUAUGUCUUCAGAGGCCAAUUUAUUAUCACAGAAGCUAUAACACAGAAUAAAUUAAGGCACAAUUGAGAACUCGUGAACUUAAAAUUCAUCAGAAAAGAAGAAUAAGAUGAUUGAAAUUGAAGACACAUUACUUAUUAUCACCAGGUUUUCUAGAAUCACUUUCUUUCUAACACUUCUUUUCCUCCCAAGGGGAAUUAGGAAAUUCUUACAUACCACUUGUAUACUUUUGAAUCCGCACACCAGUUAAGAUACAACUAUUGUACACUGCAUGUUUCGGUCAUGCUGAGAAAGCAAAAGAGCAAGCAGUCUAUUAGGAAAAACAGAAAUAAAUACAAGCACAAAUGGCAUAGCAGCGCCACCAGAAUUACAAUCUUUAGAUGCGGCAAUAAAUAAUAAAAGAAGUAAACUAGGUUUCACCGAGAAAGUGGAGCGAUCCGUUUCACUUAUAGAACAUAACUACUGCAUCAGGAGAGCAUCGUGGAAGUUAAAAGCUUUUGAGCUGCUUGGAAAAAUUCCUCGGGUGGUUUACUAGUUUCCCCUGCCAUAUUGAUAACCAUCUUUUGCAGCACCCUUGCAUUCUUCAGCAGAAAUUGUACCAAAGGAAAGUUGGAGUCAUAGGAAUACCCUCCUAAACGAGUAAAAGUAACUUUUUUGAGAUGCAGCGUCAAACACCUGAAAGUCCUCUUUCGUGAUGUCCAGUAGUGCUCUUCAUCAAAAUUAAAAAGCUCAUCCCGUAUUUCCCAGAAACACUGCACAAAAAAUUGUGACUCUAGUGCAUCAGUUUAAGGUGUCAGCGCAAUCAGCAAGACUGAAAUUCUUAUGGCCCAUGAAUAUGAUCAAAUGCUACAAUCAAAGGCCUUUACAAGGACAACUGAAGACAUCUGUGUUAUCGGAGGCAGGUACGAGUAUCGGUUGCGAGUCUAAGCGUAUUAUCUUUCCAUACUUAAAUCUCAAUAUACUGGGUUAUGUGUCCAAAAAUGGGUAUGAGUACGAGAACACGUCCUCUAAACUUAUUUGUAUUACAUGUAUAAUUUUCUCAGAUAAUAAGUUGUAAAUUAUUUAGAAAUUUAUUUAAAAUUGAUUAAAAUUAACAACCAAGUACCACCCAAUGAAACUAAAGCAUAGAAUCGAUUAAAAUAAAAUCCACUGAAUAUUGCAUUCAAUUUUACAUGUAAUUGCACAACAAAUUAAAAAAUCAGGACAAAUAAAAGCUCUGAUAGAGAGAGAGAAGGUACCGUGUAUUCUCUCUCCUCUCUCUCUCUCUUUCUCUCUCUGAAACUGAUUUAUAGGAACUGUAUUGGCGCUCAUGUUGUGGAGACUGAAAAACCAAAGCCCAAGUUUCUGGCAUCUAGCUAGAAUUGGAGGGGAGAAUGUACAAGUUCUACUGGUGCUGGAUUGGCUUGCGUGCGGCAGAGCCUGUACAGUUCGCCCAGUAAAUUUGAGUCCAAUUUCAUUCAGCCACUUGUACCAGUAUAAAAUGGGCCCCAACAAAUUGAUUCGAUAGGAACAAUUCAUGUAAAAAAAAAUUAUAAAAUUUAUUUAU
rnacentral:lncRNA from 1 species